CAAGAUGGUGUAGUGGAAAUCUGGUUGUCUAUUCAAUAUCCAUUUACCUCUUCCUCAAUUGUGACGGAAUUUGUUUUGUCCAGAUAUCAAACCUGCACAUGGAUCUAAGCAGGGGUGGGAUGAAGGGGGCGGAUCUUGUGUAAGCCAAUCAGCAUAAGGUAUUCUGUUGAUAACUAUUACUGGUCCAUAAAAAUACAUAUAACCUAAUUUGGCUCAAUCAGACCUUUAAAAAGGGGACUAAGAGUCCAUGCCCAGGGAAUGGUUUCUCUCUCUUCCGCUGGACUUUAACAAGCAAGCACAUGACGGGCUUCAUCAGUCCUGGACGAGAAAGCUGAGAUGAAAAUAACUUGAGUCUUGGAUGAAAUCAGUGACCCUAUGAUAUCAUCACAUCUAGAGCUGACUCUAACUGGACUUCCAGCUAUUUCCAGGACAUAUUCAAGCAGAGUUUGGAUAACCACCUGCCAAAGAUCUGUAUUGGGUGGGAAGUUGGUUCAUACCUGUCUUAAUUGUCCAAGAUUCUAUUCUUCACCUAGAUUAUCUCUGUAAAUCAUGAAGUGCUUACUAAAAGUAUUAUAUCCAAAUGAAUAUUCAAGUAAAAAUAUAAACAAUAAAAUAAUAGAGAAUGCUAAUAACAGUGCUAAAUACUGUGUAUACAUCAUUUUUAAUUAGUACUGACAAUCUCGUAAGUUAGGUAUUACUUCUAUACCUUUUUUUUUUUUUCAGCUGA
rnacentral:lncRNA from 1 species